ACUCAAAUGAAUUGACGGGGACUUGCACAAGCAGUGGAUUAUGUGGUUUAAUUCGACGGUAAACGAAGAACCUUACCAAGGUUAGAAAUCCAGGGGAAGACCAGCAGAAACGUUGGUCGCCGCAAGGCCGCUGGACAGGUGAUGCAUGGCCGUCGUCAGUUCGUGGUUUGAAUUGUUCCCUUAAGUGGGGUAACGAACGCAACCCUCGUCGUCUGUUAUACGUGUCAGGCGAGACUGCCCAGCACUUUGCGCACAAGCGAAGCAAUAUAUUUGUUUCGUUUGCGAAUAAAGUGCUGGGAGGAAGGGGAGGAUGACGCCAGGUCAGCAUGUCCCUCUGAUACCUUGGGCUACACACAUAAUACAAUGACCAUUACAACGGGUCGCGACGUGGUAACACAGAGCUAAUCCUAAGAAAAAUGGCCUAAGUUCGGAUUGAGGGCUGCAACUCGCCCUCAUGAAGUUGGAAUUGCUAGUAAUCGCAGGUCAGCUAAACUGCGGUGAAUACGUUCUCAAGUCUUGUACACACCGCCCGU
rnacentral:rRNA from 1 species